rnacentral:rRNA from 1 species
UACGGAGGAUCCAAGCGUUAUCCGGAAUCAUUGGGUUUAAAGGGUCCGUAGGCGGUUUAGUAAGUCAGUGGUGAAAGCCCAUCGCUCAACGGUGGAACGGCCAUUGAUACUGCUAGACUUGAAUUAUUUGGGAGUAACUAGAAUAUGUAGUGUAGCGGUGAAAUGCUUAGAGAUUACAUGGAAUACCAAUUGCGAAGGCAGGUUACUACAAAUGGAUUGACGCUGAUGGACGAAAGCGUGGGUAGCGAACAGG